AGUGAACGCUGGCGGUAGGCCUAACACAUGCAAGUCGAACGGCAGCACAGUAAGAGCUUGCUCUUACGGGUGGCGAGUGGCGGACGGGUGAGGAAUACAUCGGAAUCUACUUUUUCGUGGGGGAUAACGUAGGGAAACUUACGCUAAUACCGCAUACGACCUACGGGUGAAAGCAGGGGAUCUUCGGACCUUGCGCGAUUGAAUGAGCCGAUGUCGGAUUAGCUAGUUGGCGGGGUAAAGGCCCACCAAGGCGACGAUCCGUAGCUGGUCUGAGAGGAUGAUCAGCCACACUGGAACUGAGACACGGUCCAGACUCCUACGGGAGGCAGCAGUGGGGAAUAUUGCACAAUGGGCGCAAGCCUGAUCCAGCCAUACCGCGUGAGUGAAGAAGGCCUUCGGGUUGUAAAGCCCUUUUGUUGGGAAAGAAAAGCAGCAGGUUAAUACCCCGCUGUUCUGACGGUACCCAAAGAAUAAGCACCGGCUAACUUCGUG
rnacentral:rRNA from 1 species